rnacentral:rRNA from 1 species
AUGCACGCUGGCGGCGUGCCUAAUACAUGCAAGUCGCGCGAACAGACGAGGAGCUUGCUCCUCUGACGUUAGCGGCGGACGGGUGAGUAACACGUGGAUAACCUACCUAUAAGACUGGGAUAACUUCGGGAAACCGGAGCUAAUACCGGAUAAUAUAUUGAACCGCAUGGUUCAAUAGUGAAAGACGGUUUUGCUGUCACUUAUAGAUGGAUCCGCGCCGCAUUAGCUAGUUGGUAAGGUAACGGCUUACCAAGGCAACGAUGCGUAGCCGACCUGAGAGGGUGAUCGGCCACACUGGAACUGGGACACGGUCCAGACUCCUACGGGAGGCAGCAGUAGGGAAUCUUCCGCAAUGGGCGAAGGCCUGACGGAGCAACGCCGCGUGAGUGAUGAAGGUCUUCGGAUCGUAAAACUCUGUUAUUAGGGAAGAAAAAAUGUGUAAGUAACUAUGCACGUCUUGACGGUACCUAAUCAGAAAGCCACGGCUAACUACGUG